rnacentral:tRNA from 1 species
UCCCUAGUAGCUCAGAAGGUAAAGCGUCUGCCUGCAAUGCAGGAGACCUGGGUUCGAUCCCUGGGUUGGGAA